rnacentral:rRNA from 1 species
UACGAAGGGUGCAAGCGUUACUCGGAAUUACUGGGCGUAAAGCGCGCGUAGGCGGUUCGUUAAGUCUGAUGUGAAAGCCCCGGGCUCAACCUGGGAACUGCGUUUGGUACUGGCAAGCUAGAGUACGGCAGAGGGGGGUGGAAUUCCACGUGUAGCAGUGAAAUGCGUAGAGAUGUGGAGGAACACCGAUGGCGAAGGCAGCCCCCUGGGCCGAUACUGACGCUCAGGCACGAAAGCGUGGGGAGCGAACAGG